AUACUAUAUUUAUUUCCUAUUGAAUCUUUAUCAGAAUUUCAUAUCAUUCCAAAUACUAUAUAAACUGACAAUACAGAUUGUGGGGGAGUUGGUUUAUUUUGGGCUUGACAAAGCUUAGAAGUUCGAGAAGUUCUCAGUUUCAAAAAGUUUUUCCAAUGAAGAAUACGUGGGGAAAUAAAAUGGAGAGUAUUGAUCCGAUCAAAUUUCAAAAAGCUGGAAUUCAAGAAAAAUUAAUGUUAAUUCUUCAAUCGUGGGAUCUAUCGAAUCCAAUUGGUGUUCUUGAAAUUCUUCGUGAAAAACGUUUGCAACUGCAUCAUCUCUAUUUUCUCGAGGAAGAAGAAUUGAAAGAAGUUUUUCCACAGCACAGAAUAAUGGAUAGGAUUGAGUUUAGAAAUUGCUGGAAGAUAUUUUUGCAAAAAUUCAAUUACAUUGCUUGCCAUCACUUUACAAAAAACAUCGAAACUAAGAACGAUGUGUACGCAGUAUUGGAUUACAUGGUAGAGCAGGAAAAAUAAAAUUUUACUUGCGGGUUUUCCAUUAUAUAUCUGAAAAAAUCCUGAUGUGUUGUUCUUAAAUAAUAAAGAAGUUAUCUCUAUUUUGUAA